rnacentral:rRNA from 1 species
UACGUAGGGGGCUAGCGUUGUCCGGAAUCAUUGAGCGUAAAGAGCGUGUAGGCGGCCCGGUAAGUCCGCUGUGAAAGUCAAAGGCUCAACCUUUGAAUGUCAGCGGAUACUGCCGGGCUAGAGUCCGGAAGAGGCGAGUGGAACUCCUGGUGUAGCGGUGGAAUGCGCAGAUAUCAGGAAGAACACCAACGGCGAAGGCAGCUCGCUGGGACGGUACUGACGCUGAGACGCGAAAGCGUGGGGAGCGAACAGG